ensembl:snRNA U6 U6 spliceosomal RNA
GUGCUCACUUCUGCAAGACAUAUACUAAAAUUGGAAUGAUACAAAGAAUAGCAUUGUCCCUAUGCAAGGAUGACAUGCAAAUUCAUAAAGUGUUCCAUAUUUUU